rnacentral:rRNA from 1 species
GACGAACGCUGGCGGCGUGCCUAAUACAUGCAAGUAGAACGCUGAAGAGAGGAGCUUCCUCUUCUUGGAUGAGUUGCGAAAGGGUGAGUAACGCGUAGGUAACCUGCCUUGUAGCGGGGGAUAACUAUUGGAAACGAUAGCUAAUACCGCAUAACAAUGGAUGACACAUGUCAUUUAUUUGAGAGGGGCAAUUGCUCCACUACAAGAUGGACCUGCGUUGUAUUAGCUAGUAGGUGAGGUAAUGGCUCACCUAGGCGACGAUACAUAGCCGACCUGAGAGGGUGAUCGGCCACACUGGGACUGAGACACGGCCCAGACUCCUACGGGAGGCAGCAGUAGGGAAUCUUCGGCAAUGGGGGCAACCCUGACCGAGCAACGCCGCGUGAGUGAAGAAGGUUUUCGGAUCGUAAAGCUCUGUUGUAAGUCAAGAACGGGUGUGAGAGUGGAAAGUUCACACUGUGACGGUAGCUUACCAGAAAGGGACGGCUAACUACGUG